rnacentral:rRNA from 1 species
UACGUAGGGUGCGAGCGUUUGUCCGGAAUUAUUGGGCGUAAAGAGCUUGUAGGCGGUUUGUCGCGUUCUGCCGUGAAAACUCGAGGCUCAACCUCGAGACGCCGAUGGAAACCAUCUGACUAGAGUCCGGAAGAGGAGAGUGGAAUUCCUGGUGUAGCGGUGAAAUGCGCAGAUAUCAGGAAGAACACCCGUGGCUAAGGCGGCUCUCUAGUACGGUACUGACGCUGAGACGCGAAAGCGUGGGGAGCGAACAGG